UUUCAUAUAUGUCUGUUACAGAUUAUGAAAAAUAUAAAAUGGAACAAAAGACACAGAGUGCUACAGUUGCUAGCCUAAAGACAGUUUAGUCAGCCCUGGCCUUAUCUCAUAGGGACCUCAAGGCCUCACAUGGGAAUAUACUGAAGCAAUAGAAUAAAAGGGAUAAAUUCUUCAACAAACUAUGGAAAGGGGUUAAGGUCUUAUGGAAUAGCCUAAAUCCUAAUGCUAAUCUCCUAUCUUCCAAGCUUGAUAGUUAUGAUGAGGCACCUGCUGAGUGGUCAAAUAUUGAGGAUGGUGAUGAAGAUUUAGAGUCAACAGAGGUGAGCAACUCAUGAUACAAGAGAGACCCUUCUUUCUUUCACUUGAUUGCACUUGUUGUGAGAAAACUACAUUCUUAUAGUUGAGGGUGCG
rnacentral:lncRNA from 1 species